rnacentral:tRNA from 1 species
AGUGUAGCUCAAUUGGUAGAGCACCGGUCUCCAAAACCGGGGGCUGGGGGUUCGAGCCCCUCCACU